AAUGUUGAUGCCAGCACAUUCACAUAAUGAAAACACAGUAUUUCUGUUGUAACAUCGUAGUAGUAUGUGUUAGGCCAGUAGGAUGUUCCAGGAAGCUGUGUAAAGGCUCAUGAGCACCAUUUGGGUCUUCUGAGCCUGUAUGUGACACUGCUUCUCUUCAGAAGCCCAGUCACAGCAAGAUGUGAUACUUGAUGCUGAAUCACAGAUGACAGGAAGCCUGCACGUGGAAGUUUGCAUGUAUCUGGAUGCAUACCUCAUGAAUAGAAGCUCGAUUUUUGCUUCACAGUUACUUUCAACUUCUGUGGAAUUUACUCUUGCUUCAUACUAAUUUAGAGGCCAGUCACUAGAGGCCAAUAUGUUGGAGGCCCUGUCCCUGCUUUUGAUCAACGUGAGGGUGUGAUACUAACAAGAAAAAGAUUCUGCCACUUAAAGUAAUUGUGCUGUGCAAACUAGGAAGGGCUCCAUGCAUUGCUCAUGCUGCCAGUAUUUUAAUGAAAAUACUGGUAAACAAGUAAAUAAAAAACUAAUAUUCCUGUUGAA